AUGUUUAUUCACUUGUCAUUGCACGAGAGUGUGGCAGGUAAUAGGGAUGCCCAAUCCCGAAAUGAAAAAAAAAUUAUAUAUGUUGUUCAUAAUAAAUUCCUUGGAAAGUGUUGGUAUGUAAGGCACCCGUGGAUACGGCUAGCCAUGGAUUGUGAAAGAAUGGUGGAAAAGGAAAUAAACUUUAUUUUAUGUUUGGGAACCGCCUAUGAUUUAUCUAGCAUGGAAGAUAUUGGGAAUUCUCGGUCGUUUUCGUUGACAGGAAAAGCAUGCAUCUCAAAACAAUUUUAUCUCUCAAUUUAA
rnacentral:rRNA from 1 species